rnacentral:pre_miRNA from 1 species
GCAACAUUCGGACCGUCAGUCAACCGAGCUAUAUUACCGACACGGUGGAAGAUCUUACCUUUGUCAU